AGCGAACGCUAGCGGCAGGCCUAACACAUGCAAGUCGAACGAACUCUUCGGAGUUAGUGGCGGACGGGUGAGUAACACGUGGGAACGUGCCUUUAGGUUCGGAAUAACUCAGGGAAACUUGUGCUAAUACCGAAUGUGCCCUUCGGGGGAAAGAUUUAUUGCCUUUAGAGCGGCCCGCGUCUGAUUAGCUAGUUGGUGAGGUAACGGCUCACCAAGGCGACGAUCAGUAGCUGGUCUGAGAGGAUGGCCAGCCACACUGUGACUGAGACACGGCCCAGACUCCUACGGGAGGCAGCAGUGGGGAAUCUUGCGCAAUGGGCGAAAGCCUGACGCAGCCAUGCCGCGUGAAUGAUGAAGGUCUUAGGAUUGUAAAAUUCUUUCACCGGGGACGAUAAUGACGGUACCCGGAGAAGAAGCCCCGGCUAACUUCGUGCCAGCCGCCGCAGUAA
rnacentral:rRNA from 1 species